AUAUGAAUCUAUAACAGCACUGAAACAAGAAAACCAUUAUUUUACAUGACACAGAAUGCGAUUUUCUUAUGUAAUUUUACAAAAACAAAAAUAAUUGAACCGUUUUAAGCACUGAGAUUGAAUCACACGAAUAAUACAUGACAUAGAACAAGAUUUUGUAAUGUAAAAUUACGUCAUUUAUUAUGCUUCUUUUUAUUUACAUCAUAUGUGAUGUAAUUUGACAGAUUAUUUUUGUAUACACAGAACAAUUUGAACCCUUAACAGCACUGAACAAAAGAUUUCCCAAAAAUUACAUGACAUGCAACACUAUACGACAUUGAAUUUUAAUUUGAUGAAUAUUACAUUACAUUGAACGCUAUUUUGUUAUGUAUAAUUACAGAUUGUUGAAAAUAGACAGCAAUUCGUUGUAAGAAAGUGGUCUCAUUGAAAAACUUGUUUCAUAUUGUUUCGACAAAUUUAUUAGCUCGUUUUCUUUCACGAUUAGCACUUCCGUGUGAUAUUUUCGCAGUGGUUUGUAAUAAUUUAAGUAUAGCGGCACGGACGACGGACUUUGACAGCAGCUCCCGUUUUCGUUUUGUUUAUUUUGGUAAGGAAAUUUAGUUGUUAUACAAUAUGAAAGAAAAUUUUUAUUUUUCAAUGGAUUUCAUCGUUCCUGAAUUACUCCCUGGGGUCCGGACCACUAGCAGCUGGCGCAAAACCAUUUGGAGUAAGCUGGACGAAAAUGCAAGAUUGGAAUUUUCAGGUAAAUAAGUUUGAUAAUCCAGCGUUUCAUAAAACUCAUACUUUCAUUUCUGUUAUUCUAGGAGCAAAAGCUUCCGGGAGCUGCUAGACGCUAACGUGAUCGACGGAGACAUUUGAUGGGCCAGAGGGCAAACAUGAAAGAGUUACGAAGUUGGCCACGAAAUGCGCCAUUUCAAGCUAAGUUGGCCAUUCAGACACCUAACGUGGACACACUAUGACUUCCUCGUCAGAAAUCCUACAGUAUGAACUGGCUGAAAGCAGCACAUAAAACCUAAUUGCGUGCUUUGAAAAAGGUAAAAAAUACUAGAAGGAUACAACGGAUUACGAAUUUUAACAUUAAUUGUUCAACAAAACAUCAAACGAGGCACAGUCAUUGACGUUUCUAAGACGCUUGAUUCUAGGAUAUGAACCUACCUAGCAAUUACAUCAAGCAAUUAUGUACUUCGAAAAUGAAACCUGCUGAUCUGGAAGUAGCUUGAUUAUGGAUUGAUUAGCUGUGCAAUCCGGAAACCUGUAGCAAAAGACGGAAUUCGGUACCCGGUUAAACGAAUAUGUAUGUAACUGUUUCGGAAAUUUACGUCGCUUUUGCGGAAACAUUUGACAAUCGAAUAUUCGCCAAGCAUAACUGGCAUCCCAAACGGAAAAAUGUUUUCUGUCGCCCACUGCCUGUAUACUCGUUUCUGCAUUCCAACAUAAAACGCAACCCUUCGGGACAAAAAGAAGACAUUUGCU